rnacentral:rRNA from 1 species
GACGUAGGGGGCCAGCGUUGCUCGGAAUUACUGGGCGUAAAGGGUUCGUAGGCGGUUCGGCAAGUCGGAAGUGAAAUCUCUGGGCUUAACUCAGAGGCUGCUCCCGAAACUGCCGUGCUUGAGUGCGGGAGAGGCGAGUGGAAUUGCAGGUGUAGCGGUGAAAUGCGUAGAUAUCUGCAGGAACACCCGUGGCGAAAGCGGCGCGCUGGACCACUACUGACGCUGAGGACCGAAAGCGAGGGGAGCAAACAGG